AGAGAUGUGUGAUGACGCAUAUCAAUAAGCGGAGGAAAAGAAACUAACAAGGAUUCCCUUAGUAACGGCGAGUGAAGCGGGAAGAGCUCAAAUUUGAAAUCUUCAAGGUUCUACCUUGACGAAUUGUAGUUUAUAGAAGUGUUUUCUGUUAGUAGAGUGGCAAAAGUUCUUUGGAAUAGGACAUCAUAGAGGGUGAGAAUCCCGUAUUUGGUCAUUCUUUCUAGCUUUGUGAUACACUUUCAACGAGUCGGAUUGUUUGGGAAUGCAGUCCAAAAUGGGUGGUAAAUUUCAUCUAAAGCUAAAUAUUGGCGAGAGACCGAUAGCGAACAAGUACCGUGAGGGAAAGAUGAAAAGAACUUUGAAAAGAGAGUUAAACAGUACGUGAAAUUGUCAAAAGGGAAGCGUUUGACACCAGUGUUGUUUUUCCGAAAAUCAAUUACGAAUGUUUUAUUUUUGAGAAGUUAUGACUUCAUCGGCUUGCUUCUCUCUUUAUGAAACUUUCUUAAUGCACUUUUCAGGUUAACAAGUCAACAUCAAUUUCUUUUGUUGUAAAAGGGUAUGAAGGAAGGUGGCUUGCGCCUCGGCUCAAGUGUUUAUAGCCUUUUACCUCUGCAAUCGGAGAGAUUGAGGUCUGCAGCGUAGAUCCUUCGGGGUUAGAUACAUUGGUGCUAAGCUAUAGCCUUGUAUAGACAACUUGUUGACUAUGCUCAGUCAUGUAGCUUACUCGCUGAUGCUAUUUUACCUACGCUUAGGAUGUUGAUCUGUAGUGCGUGCGC
rnacentral:rRNA from 1 species